GAGACAGAAAACAAGGAAAGGGAAGUUUUGUUUCAGGCUCCUCGCUGCUUCAGGAUGCAAGUUCUGCAAACACCUGCACUGGGACAGCGUUUCCGGGGAAGGUCCUCACACUAGCUCACAAAUCUAAGGGAACAGAUGGUUUAUCCGGGCUUGCAGUUCGAGUUCGAGUUCAUCAUGGUGAGAAAGUCAAGGCAGGAAGAUCUUGAAGCUCCCCAGCACAUCCACACACAGGAUCAGAGCAAAGACUGCUUCCUAGUGCUCAGCUCCCUCGGUCUGUUUGUACAGUCAAGGGUACCCUGAAGAGAAAACAGUCUUGCUCAUAGUGAAGAUGGAUCUUUGUACAUCAGUUAAUAUGAACAAGACAAUGCUCCAUAAGCAUAGCCAGAGGCCAGUCUUGCAGUGUCUGCUUGGAGGAACAGGUGGAAGAUGACCUCAGUGAAUCGGCCAAGCCAGCAUCUGGACCUCAAAGAGACCAGAAGUUUCCAUUCCUCUUGAGGAUCCUCUGGACAAAGCCCUCAGCCCUGUUUUCUCCAAUCAAAUGUAUGAUGAUCUGUCUAUGUGGCUCUGACUGUCCGGAAAAUAUGUAAACCAGGCUGCCCUUGAACCUGUCACAUUUUCCUUUUAUAAAACAGUAAGAAAACUGUUACACACAACAAGUCAACCAUUCCUUGGACUUUGCAUGGAGAAAAUGAAUAUGUUUUAUAUAGUAAAGGCUACAUGCUGUUUUCACUAAUCAUUUCUUUUCAGAAAUGAAGAGAUUAUUUACUAUUUACCCAAUGAGUCUAGAUGCCCCUCAGUCUCCUGGUUGAAGGAAAAUAAAUUAUAUGCUAUUG